rnacentral:lncRNA from 10 species
GGCCACCUAAGAUGGAAGAAGCCAUGAGAUGAGUAAGCGUUGCCUACUCACAAGGUUGCAAACUGUCCUUCACUUACGAUUAUCCCCCAACGCCCCCUCCUAAAUCUGAUCAAUCGCAUGGAACUUGAUGGUUACAAAAGACAGAGCUAACAACUAGCUACCUUGCAGGAACGGGAACGUCAUUCUGAGGGUAGUCCACAUGCAAGUGUUCUAAAGUUGACAUCACUGCUUCAUCAUUCACCUCAUUUUCCCAGAACAGAAGCACCAAGAAAAUUAUCACCAUUAUUAUCAUCAGAGAUUAAGAAGCAGCAAUGCCCCUCUUGUGGCAAGAGUUGGCAGCGUGCGGUUGGUAUGUCAAUGCAUCCAAGGUCCAAGGGCCUGGAUUGUCUGCCAAAUGCUUGGGAGUUGUUUGAUCAGGUUGACAUGCUCCAACAGCAUUGUGGACUGGGCCCACACCUACGCU